CGGAGGAUCCAAGCGUUAUCCGGAUUUAUUGGGUUUAAAGGGUGCGUAGGCGGCCUAUUAAGUCAGGGUGAAGACGGUGGCUCAACCAUCGCAGUGCCUUUGAUACUGAUGGGCUUGAUUACACUUGAGGUAGGCGGAAUGUGACAAGUAGCGGUGAAAUGCAUAGAUAUGUCACAGAACACCAAUUGCGAAGGCAGCUUACUAAGGUGUCAAUGACGCUGAGGCACGAAAGCGUGGGAUCAAACAGGAUU
rnacentral:rRNA from 1 species